UACGUAGGGUGCAAGCAUUAAUCGGAAUUAUUGGGCGUAAAGAGCUCGUAGGCGGUCUGUUGCGUCUGCCUGUGAAAACCCGGGGCUUAACCCCUGGCUUGCAGUGGAUACGGACAGACUAGAGGUAGGUAGGGGAGAAUGGAAUUCCCGGUGUAGCGGUGAAAUGCGCAGAUAUCGGGAGGAACACCGGUGGCGAAGGCGGCUCACUGGUCCAUUACUGACGCUGAGGUGCGAAAGCGUGGGGAGCAAACAGGG
rnacentral:rRNA from 1 species